rnacentral:lncRNA from 1 species
GUUCCGAUUUUAAUGCCAUUUUUGGAGUUUAUGUUGUGAUCUGUGCGCUCAACCCACCUUUGUCACGUGAGGUUUGAAUAUGAGCAACUUUAUGUGAGUGUCUUUAUUUGUGGAAACGGGUGUUUGUCUUACCAGUGGGUCCAACAUUACGCACACUAAAUCCAUCUGUGCUCAUAUGAGAGAGUGUGGAGGACACUUGUUGAGGAGCUGCCCUCUGUCGCCAUCUUGUGGCAUUACUGUCUUAAGACAUCUCUUGAUCUCUUUGACUACUCCAUGAAAAUAGUAAUACGCCUCGCCUGUGGCGGAUUUAAAGGCAAGGAGAGGAGCCUAUGUGAUUGGUGAAAACAGGUCUCGGCUGUGUUAAACCAACUACACGCCC